rnacentral:lncRNA from 1 species
AUAGGACUAGACCUAUUGAACCUAUUUUCCACAUAGCUAGAUGAAGACAAGUAAGAAAAUACAGGGAAUUUUAAUUUUGCUUAUGCCUUGAAGAAGUCUGAUCCUAGACACUGGGAUGGUUGGGGAUUUUCCAGACUCUAGAAAUCAGUGUGAAUUUGGCCCAUAGCCCACAAGCAGACAACUUUCUUGCACUAGGAAAUGACCUCAGCAUAGACUAAAGAUAACCACCGUGGGAGAAACGCCUACUUGGUUUUUUUCUUUACAUUUGGCCCCAUUCCUCAGCAUCUGAGAUCCAGAAAGAUGGCUAAUCUUCCAAAGCCUGCUGCACACAAACAGAAGGCUAACCCAAGUCACAGCCCUAAAAGGCAGGGAAAGAAUCAGUUUCUGUCCUGCUUCUCUUCUUCUCAUCAUCAGCAUGAUGACGAGAUGUAUGAGGUCCAAUACUGAUGCUUUGAACAAAAUCAACCAGCGUCCCAAGGAAAAUCUAUUAAGUGAUAACUAGCCUCUACACCAUCUUUCCCUUUCCCCUAGGAUGCUUUCACAAAGCAUCUUUAGAUAGUAGAGCAAGCAUGAAGGGAACAAAGUUCAUAAUCAUGCAACAUGGAUUUCAGCUUAAUAAACUAUGACUUCUUGACUCCAUAAUGAACUUGUUGUGUGACUAUAGGCAUUUCAUUGGGCCUUUCUGUACCCAAUUCUACAGUGUUAAAAAUGGAACUCAUUGGACUCAGGCCUCAUAACUCCUUGGAGUACAUGAUUUGAGUUGGUAUUUUUCCCCAUGAAGUUGCCUUUAAUUGAGGCUCACCAGAUACAUGAAGCCUUAGAAACACAGCUUCCAACGGUCCUCAGAUAACGUGUUCUCCAAGGUGUCCUUCCUUGCAGUAUUAGGAGAUCACAAAGAAUGGUGGGUCCAGUCUCUACUUGGCCUUGUGUUGCUGGAGACCAGGGUCAGCCACAGCCACAAAGGAGCUUCAGGAAAAUCCUGUGGAUUUAGUGUUCAGGGCAUCACCAGGCCCUGUGGGCAGUUUCGCCUGAGUCAAGAGAAUAGCAGAGAGAACUGGAGAACAAUUCCAACUAUGCUUGAAGAACAAGGUUAAGUUCUCAUGCGCCACAUCUUGACCAAGGUAGUAUAUGGGAAUGGAAAUGGCCAUCAUAGUAAGUCUACAAUUAACAAAUGCUGAAGAGGAUGUGGAGAAAAGGGAACCCUCAUACAUUUCUGGUGGGAAUGUAAAUUGAUACAACCACUAUGGAAAACAAUAUGGAGGGACCUCAGAAAACUAUAUAUAGAACUAUCCUAUGACCCAGCAAUCCCACUCUUGGGC